rnacentral:rRNA from 1 species
UACGUAGGGUGCAAGCGUUAAUCGGAAUUACUGGGCGUAAAGCGUGCGCAGGCGGUUGUGCAAGACAGGGGUGAAAUCCCCGGGCUUAACCUGGGAAUUGCAUUUGUGACUGCACGGCUAGAGUGUGUCAGAGGGGGGUAGAAUUCCACGUGUAGCAGUGAAAUGCGUAGAUAUGUGGAGGAAUACCGAUGGCGAAGGCAGCCCCCUGGGAUAACACUGACGCUCAUGCACGAAAGCGUGGGGAGCAAACAGG